UUACACUCAGAAAGAGAGUGAACAACUAGAAGAUGUGGAAGAAAAUUCCAAGGGCCAAUUUUGAAACAAACCAGGCAGAGACCCAGAUGCAGAAUCCUGCAGGCUGAGGGAUGUUAGGAAGAGUUAGCCCACCACUGCUGCGCUGAAACCAGGAUGACGCAAACUGGGCCUCAGGCCAGGCUUAGAAUAUAAACUGACACCUUGAAGAAGUGACCAUCUUGUAAUCAACACUUUAUUCUAAGGAUAACAGAGAUAAAUGAUAUAAGGAUCUCUGUUUCUUAAUGGCAUUGUUGAGCCCUAAACUUUCUACUGCUAGAUAUUUUAUCGCAUGAAAUAAAUAAGCCUUAGUUGCUUAAAA
rnacentral:lncRNA from 1 species